rnacentral:rRNA from 1 species
GAUGAACGCUGGCGGUAUGCUUAACACAUGCAAGUCGAACGGACUCUUCGGAGUUAGUGGCGGACGGGUGAGUAACGCGUGAGAAUCUGGCUUUGGGUUCGGGACAACCACUGGAAACGGUGGCUAAUACCGGAUGUGCCGAGAGGUAAAAGAGAAAUUGCCUGAAGAUGAGCUCGCGUCUGAUUAGCUAGUUGGUGAGGUAAAGGCUCACCAAGGCAGCGAUCAGUAGCUGGUCUGAGAGGAUGACCAGCCACAAUGGGACUGAGACACGGCCCAGACUCCUACGGGAGGCAGCAGUGGGGAAUUUUCCGCAAUGGGCGAAAGCCUGACGGAGCAAUACCGCGUGAGGGAAGAAGGCUCUUGGGUUGUAAACCUCUUUUCUUAGGGAAGAACAAAAUGACGGUACCUAAGGAAUCAGCAUCGGCUAACUCCGUG